rnacentral:tRNA from 2 species
GCGGGGGUACCCGAGCCAGGUCUAAAUAGGGGCUUUGAACCCCCUAAGAUAAGGGGGAGGACUUAAGAUCCUCUGGCGUAGGCCUUCGUGGGUUCAAAUCCCACCCCCCGCACCA